rnacentral:misc_RNA from 1 species
UUUUCGGCGAAUUCUGACUAUAUUGCGCCGCAAUGAGUGCCCGUGUGCCCGGUUCUUUUGAACCGGGCACCGCGUUUUUUGGGCCCUGCGCGCACGACGACAUCGGACCUGCACUCAGCCGCCUUUGCGGCGCCGCGCCCCAUAGCUGGAAGACUUAAGACACAUGAAUUUGCGAAACAUCGCCAUCAUCGCCCACGUCGACCACGGCAAGACCACGCUCGUCGACAAGCUGCUCCAGCAAUCCGGCACCUACCGCGAGAACCA